UGUGAGUUUAACACUUCAUGACUGAGAGCUGUCCUUCAUGACAACAGAACCCACAACAACCAUGACUUUUAUCACCAUCUUCAUCUGGAUAUUUGCCCUCUGUCUCCAAGAAUCCAGAGGCCAGGUCACUGUAACUCAGACCCCUGCAGUGAAAGCUGUUCUCCCAGGACAGACAGUCUCUCUGAACUGUAAAACCAGCAGUGAUGUCUAUAACAAUAACCGUCUAGCCUGGUACCAACAGAAACCUGGAGGAGCUCCUAAACUCCUUAUUUACUAUGCUACAACACUUCAGUCUGGGACUCCAUCUAGAUUCAGUGGUAGUGGAACUCAUAGUGACUUCACUCUGACCAUCAGUGGAGUCCAGGCUGAAGAUGCAGGAGAUUACUACUGUCAGAGUUUCCACUACCCCAACAGUGUCUGGGUGUUCACACAGUGAUACAGAGCCGUACAAAAACCUCCCUCAGUCAGACUGCACAGUGACUGUACUGCUACAGCUGGGACCUACUGCAGGUGCUGAGGGCGAAGAGACAGUGACAUGGAACACUGAUCAGUAGAGGAGGUCAACUAUGA